rnacentral:tRNA from 1 species
GUUUGUCUAGCUCAGUUAGUAGAGUACAAGGAUUUUAACCUUGUUUGUCAUGGAUUUGAGCCCCAUGGUGGGUG